rnacentral:rRNA from 1 species
AUACGGAGGAUCCGAGCGUUAUCCGGAUUUAUUGGGUUUAAAGGGUGCGCAGGCGGCCAUUUAAGUCAGCGGUUAAAUCGUGGGGCUCAACCCCAUUCUGCCGUUGAUACUGGGUGGCUUGAUUGCGGUCGAGGUUGGCGGAAUUCGUUGUGUAGCGGUGAAAUGCAUAGAUAUGACGAAGAACAACGAUUGCGUAGGCAGCUGACCAGACCGCAAAUGACGCUCAUGCACGAAAGUGCGGGGAUCGAACAGGAUUAGAUACCCUGGUAGUCCGCACAGUAAACGAUGAAUACUUGUUUUCGGCGAUAUAAUGUCGGAGGCAAAGCGAAAGCGAUAAGUAUUCCACCUGGGGAGUACGCCGGCAACGGUGAAACUCAAAUGAAUUGACGGGG